rnacentral:rRNA from 1 species
GAGUUUGAUCAUGGCUCAGAUUGAACGCUGGCGGCAGGCCUAACACAUGCAAGUCGAGCGGUAGCACAGAGAGCUUGCUCUCGGGUGACGAGCGGCGGACGGGUGAGUAAUGUCUGGGAAACUGCCUGAUGGAGGGGGAUAACUACUGGAAACGGUAGCUAAUACCGCAUAACGUCGCAAGACCAAAGAGGGGGACCUUCGGGCCUCUUGCCAUCAGAUGUGCCCAGAUGGGAUUAGCUAGUAGGUGGGGUAACGGCUCACCUAGGCGACGAUCCCUAGCUGGUCUGAGAGGAUGACCAGCCACACUGGAACUGAGACACGGUCCAGACUCCUACGGGAGGCAGCAGUGGGGAAUAUUGCACAAUGGGCGCAAGCCUGAUGCAGCCAUGCCGCGUGUAUGAAGAAGGCCUUCGGGUUGUAAAGUACUUUCAGCGGGGAGGAAGGUGUUGAGGUUAAUAACCUCAGCAAUUGACGUUACCCGCAGAAGAAGCACCGGCUAACUCCGUGCCAGCAGCCGCGGUAAUACGGAGGGUGCAAGCGUUAAUCGGAAUUACUGGGCGUAAAGCGCACGCAGGCGGUCUGUCAAGUCGGAUGUGAAAUCCCCGGGCUCAACCUGGGAACUGCAUUCGAAACUGGCAGGCUAGAGUCUUGUAGAGGGGGGUAGAAUUCCAGGUGUAGCGGUGAAAUGCGUAGAGAUCUGGAGGAAUACCGGUGGCGAAGGCGGCCCCCUGGACAAAGACUGACGCUCAGGUGCGAAAGCGUGGGGGGCAAACAGGAUUAGAUACCCUGGUAGUCCACGCCGUAAACGAUGUCGACUUGGAGGUUGUGCCCUUGAGGCGUGGCUUCCGGAGCUAACGCGUUAAGUCGACCGCCUGGGGAGUACGGCCGCAAGGUUAAAACUCAAAUGAAUUGACGGGGGCCCGCACAAGCGGUGGAGCAUGUGGUUUAAUUCGAUGCAACGCGAAGAACCUUACCUACUCUUGACAUCCAGAGAACUUUCCAGAGAUGGAUUGGUGCCUUCGGGAACUCUGAGACAGGUGCUGCAUGGCUGUCGUCAGCUCGUGUUGUGAAAUGUUGGGUUAAGUCCCGCAACGAGCGCAACCCUUAUCCUUUGUUGCCAGCGGUUAGGCCGGGAACUCAAAGGAGACUGCCAGUGAUAAACUGGAGGAAGGUGGGGAUGACGUCAAGUCAUCAUGGCCCUUACGAGUAGGGCUACACACGUGCUACAAUGGCGCAUACAAAGAGAAGCGACCUCGCGAGAGCAAGCGGACCUCAUAAAGUGCGUCGUAGUCCGGAUUGGAGUCUGCAACUCGACUCCAUGAAGUCGGAAUCGCUAGUAAUCGUAGAUCAGAAUGCUACGGUGAAUACGU